AGAAACUUAGGUUAGCACCACAAACCAAGAGCCUUCAAAGCCCUAAACAUGGGUAAAUCCCAUAGUUUCUG
rnacentral:tRNA from 1 species